GACAGAGGUGCCAAGCGUUAGGCGGAAUCACUGGGCUUAAAGCGUGUGUAGGCGGAAGGGUAAGUACCUUGUGAAAUCCCACGGCUCAACCGUGGAACUGCUUGGUAUACUGCUUUUCUUGAGCCACUUAGGGGCUACCGGAACAAAUGGUGGAGCGGUGAAAUGCGUAGAUAUCUGGAGGAACACCGGUGGCGAAGGCGGGUCUCUGGGCAGUAACUGACGCUGAGGAGCGAAAGCGUGGGGAGCGAACAGG
rnacentral:rRNA from 1 species